AUUGCACUUGCACUGUUGCAGUAGUAUUUAUUUAUUUAAUAAUAUGCGAGGAAUUUCCAAUGUUUAUAAAACAUAACUAUGAAAUGAUAGGUAUAUAGUUAAAAAAAUUAACCAAAAUUUUAGAAAUAGAUAACGAAGGAUAAUAGGUUGUUUAGAGCUAAAAAAUAAGAGUAUAAAAAAUAUAAAAAUGACAGAUCAGUAUAGAAUGUUGGAGAUUCUUAUUGCUGAUUUGCCGAUUUUAUAAUUCAUAUAAUAUUUAAAAUAAUUGAUGAACGAUUUAUAUAGAAACACGGAAUAGUUUAUGGUUAUACUGAUAUAGUUGUAUGGUAGAAUUUUACUUUAAAAUUUCUAAAAUUCAAUUUUGAAGGCAGAAUAGAUAUAUCGACAUAGCCAUCCAUAAGCUUGAACAAAACGGAUAGGUUCACGUCAGAGUGACACUCUUAACUUAAAGGCACUCAACAUGUAAGGCAGCAUACUUUGAAUACGUUCGUUGUGUUCUCUCAAAUGUACAGCUUUUUACACUGUAAGUAUAACGAAAAAUAACUACUACAUACUCUAAAAGGGAGCAAACGAACGAGCAUGGAGCAAAGAGUUUACAUCAACUCAAGCAGUUAUAAAUCCUUAUUCCUUACUAGGAAUUAUAUUUCUUCGUGCUUAUGGAAAUCUAAAGUGCGACCAAAUGUGAUACCAAGAUAUGUUGGUGAUGAAGUCAUACACUGUGCAAUCUAUAAAUUACUGAAAAAUUAAAAGAUUUCAACACUUCCAGAAUUUCAUUGAAAUAUUGUCCCUGCACAUUUCAUCAUUUCAUAAUAUUAUAUUCACCGUGCGGGUCAAGUUGUUAUGUGCCUUCACGAAUACGCGCUCGACCACUUCGAAAAAAACCGUCUUUAUUGUGAAGACAAAGGGCUCGCGGGUGAAUUUUGGGACGUCACGCGUGUCCCUAUAGGGAGACGUGCCGCCGAACAAUGGAAACGCUGGCAGGGCUCUCGUAUUGCACACGACGACGACGACGACGACGUACACGCAGGAAACUCGCGUGGAGUUCCUUCCUAUAUAGUGUAUACACGGUAUAUUGUGUGUCGUAUGUGUGUAGGUACACGAUGACGGUCCAUUGAUUCCGGACGGAAGUGAAUACCCGCCAGCGGUCGAUUCGCAAAAGAAAAAUUAGAGCUCACCGUAUACGCGCCUAUAUAUGCAUUAUGCGUGUAUAACGUCAUUAUUAUUAUUAUUAUUUUGUUUUUGGUUUUCGUUCGUGAUAUUAUGCGCGCAGCUUCUACAACUGCUAAGGUUUAUUAGCUUACAAAUACGUAAAAAUUAUACGUAUUUAUGUCGCAGAAUAAUAGUAUAAAACAAUAAUACAUACGAUAAAAUAGGCACUGUUUAAAUCCGUUAGUCGUCGCUGUUCGCGUUAGUUUUUUUUUCUUAGAAAAAAAAGAAUCUUUUAGGGUUGACUGCGUCUAGAGGGGUGGGUCAUUGUUUGGUCGUAUAAUUGGGUGUCUGGAUUUCUAAUUUCGGCACGGUUUCGAUAGCGGACAAGACGGUGUUUUACUGGAAAAGGUUCGCCCGCGCGGGUUUGGAACAAUACCGGUUCCUCUUUUCUUAUAAAACGGCCGUGGGAAAUCUUGGUAAUAAUAUUAUAUAUAGGUAAAGGUAUUUGGGAGGUAUUGGACUGCGGGGUUAUAAAAGUAUGGGAUGGUGUAUUUGUUAACGGCGGACGUUUAUUAUUUUAUAGAUAAUUUUCAAUACGUCUUACUUGUUUAGAAAGUUGUUAUAACGUCCCAUGGGCAAUAGGCAUGUCUCUAUCGACUCUACCCACUAACUUUGAUUCUUAUGUAUAUUAUAGGGUAAGCAAUUGGAUAUAAGAGUAAAAAUAUAAAAAGGGCAAUGGGACACCCUUGCAUCUCAGCUAGUUCACACUAGAUUAUUUACUCAGAUACCUAUAGUUACAAAUACGCACUAAACGUCACUUAGAAAACAUCGAACGGCUAUUCCAUAAGACUUAAGACUAUAAAAGGUAAAAAGUAAAACAAUAUUGAAAUUUAUUGGCCGUUUAUGUCUUGCGGAAUACGGACAUGUGUAUUAUAACUAUCAGAUUUAUAGGCGUUGAAAUAGUUUUAUGUAUAUUUAUUUUAAAUACAUUUCAAGAAGAACAUAAUAUAGUUGGGACUAUAUUUGUAUAAAUGAUACAUUAUAAUAUAAUAUGUAUAUAGAUACAAACCGACACCAAGACUUUUAUGAAAAUUUAUGAUAUACUUAUAAUAUAUUAUAAUUUAUUUAUAAAUGUAUAUUAGCAUAUAGUGUCAAGUUAAAAGCCAGUAAAUCAUGUAGAUAAUAUUACUCACCUGACAUUAAUACAUUUUAAGUAAGUACUACUUAGGUCUUGGAAUAAUUAAUUUAUACUAUGUGUUAACUUUUAAAUUGAUUACACUGCAGUUAAAUGUUUUUCAACGUCAAGCGUAAUUUGCUUAAAAUGUAAUAAAAAUAGGUUUAAAAUAAUAUAGAUGUGCGUAUUUAAUAUAAAACUAGUAGCAAUUAAUGUAGCAUCUAAUAUAUACUUAAAUAAUAACGAUUAUCAUUUUUAAGUUAACCUACGAAAGAGAAAAAAUAACACACAAUUAGUAAAAAAUUUCAAACUCCAACUUAAAUUAAUUGUUUAUCUUAAGAUUUAACAAAUCUCGUUUGUAAGAGUUUGAACUAUAUACAUAAACCAUUCGGAGUUUGACCAAACUAUUUUGUAUGUUCUAGAUUUAACCGAUAUUCGUACUUUACGGUAACAUAAUAAAUAGCACGUAGUUAAUUAAAAACUUACUAGGUAUAGGUACUAUAUUUAAAUAUAAAUAUAAAACUCUA